rnacentral:misc_RNA from 1 species
AGUCGCAUGGACGUGUGCGUGUGCGUGCCCCUCUGCCGUUUUCCCGUUGUGUCUCCGUGCCGCUGCCCUGCUCCUCGUCUUCCCCGCCCCCUCCAUGCGCGUGUGCGUGUGCGGGCGAGGCGGCUGAUCGAGGGGACGACGAGGUGGAGAGCAGCCACGGCACCGCAGCGCUGGGGAUACAUGGGCAGUGUGCAGGAGCAGCGGAGGAGAGGCACGCACACGCACUCUGGCAAGGGAGUAGUGGUGCGGAGGCCGCAGGGGAAUACGCAGCGGAGCGAGUGGGUACGGAGGCGGAGCGGAGGAGAGGCAGCGCUGCUUCUCUGUUCGCCCCGCUUGCGUUGGACUCGAGUGUGUCUGCGUGUGCGCCCCCUGCGGCCCUGGGCCCCCUCGCCUCUCUUGCGCGCUUCGCGUCGCUUGUUUCGUUGCUGUGGCUGUCUAACUACGCCAUCGAGUCGGCCAGAGUCGCGUGCGCGGAGUAUUCACACCACAUUACGGCAUGCGGCAUGCACCUACACCAGCCCCUGCGGCCUGCACGGCAGACGCCGCCGCCUCCGCCCUCGAGCAGGACCCUGCACCGGGGUCCGUGUGGCGCCGGUCGCGCUGCACGCGUGCGAGGGCGAUACGCGGAGGGACAAGGCGAGCCCGCUAGCAGCAUGGGCCGACUCGACGGCUGAACGGCUCGUCGUGGACGGCGCGGAUGUGGCCGCCGUGCGGCAGGGGUGGGUGGGCUGCGGCUGUAUGCGUGCACGUGUGGACUCGGUCGUGAUGGAGUGAGACGUUGAUAAGGAAGUGCUCUGCUUUCCCUGGCAAGCACGCGAAGGAGGAGGUAACCACGGCAACCACAAAACGACACGUAUAUACAUACAUACAUACAUAUAUAUCAUCAUCCAUGUCGGCGUGCGCCAACAGACCAUCAAAACGCCCCGGACUUUGUUUUCCCCGCCGACCGCCGCCCCCGUGUGCUCGCCCGAGCGGACGGAGCGCGUGCGCGUGCGCCCUUUUCUCCUCGUGCUUCUCCAUUGCUUGUUUUUUGCUUGCUGUCUCUUUUGUUGUUGUCUCCGUUCCUCGACUG